UACGUAGGGUGCAAGCGUUAAUCGGAAUUACUGGGCGUAAAGCGUGCGCAGGCGGUGAUGUAAGACAGUUGUGAAAGCCCCGGGCUCAACCUGGGAACUGCAUUUGAAACUGGCGGGCUUGAGUAUGGCAGAGGGGGGUGGGAAUUCCGCGUGUAGCAGUGAAAUGCGUAGAGAUGCGGAGGAACACCGAUGGCGAAGGCAGCCCCCUGGGCCAAUACUAACGCUCAGGCACGAAAGCGUGGGGAGCAAACAGG
rnacentral:rRNA from 1 species